rnacentral:rRNA from 1 species
AGUUUGAUCCUGGCUCAGGAUGAACGCUGGCGGUCUGCUUAACACAUGCAAGUCGAACGGAGUGCUUCGGCACUUAGUGGCGGACGGGUGAGUAACGCGUGAGAAUCUGCCCUUAGGACGGGGACAACAGCUGGAAACGGCUGCUAAUACCCGAUGUGCCGAGAGGUGAAACAUUUUAUGGCCUGAGGAUGAGCUCGCGUCUGAUUAGCUAGUUGGUGGGGUAAGAGCCUACCAAGGCGACGAUCAGUAGCUGGUCUGAGAGGAUGAUCAGCCACACUGGGACUGAGACACGGCCCAGACUCCUACGGGAGGCAGCAGUGGGGAAUUUUCCGCAAUGGGCGCAAGCCUGACGGAGCAAGACCGCGUGCGGGAGGACGGCCUAUUGGUUGUAAACCGCUUUUGAUAGGGAAGAAGUACUGACGGUACCUAUCGAAUCAGCAUCGGCUAACUCCGUGCCAGCAGCCGCGGUAAUACGGAGGAUGCAAGCGUUAUCCGGAAUUAUUGGGCGUAAAGCGUCCGUAGGUGGUUGUUCAAGUCUGCUGUUAAAGCGUGCGGCUUAACCGCAUACCAGCAGUGGAAACUGGGCGACUAGAGUGCGGUAGGGGUCAGGGGAAUUCCCAGUGUAGCGGUGAAAUGCGUAGAUAUUGGGAAGAACACCGGUGGCGAAAGCGCCUGACUGGACCUGCACUGACACUGAGGGACGAAAGCUAGGGGAGCGAAAGGGAUUAGAUACCCCUGUAGUCCUAGCCGUAAACGAUGGACACUAGGUGUUGCCCGUAUCGACCCGGGCAGUGCCGUAGCCAACGCGUUAAGUGUCCCGCCUGGGGAGUACGCUCGCAGAGUGAAACUCAAAGGAAUUGA